rnacentral:rRNA from 1 species
UGGGGAAUAUUGGGCAAUGGGCGAAAGCCUGACCCAGCAACGCCGCGUGAGGGAAGAAGGUUCUCGGAUUGUAAACCUCUGUCCCAAGAGAAGAGGGAAAGACGGUAUCUUGGGAGGAAGCCCCGGCUAACUACGUGCCAGCAGCCGCGGUAAUACGUAGGGGGCGAGCGUUGUCCGGAAUGAUUGGGCGUAAAGGGCGCGUAGGCGGCCAUUUAAGUCUGGAGUGAAAGUCCUGCUUUUAAGGUGGGAAUUGCUUUGGAAACUGGAUGGCUUGAGUGCAGGAGAGGUUAUCGGAAUUCCCGGUGUAGCGGUGAAAUGCGUAGAGAUCGGGAGGAACACCAGUGGCGAAGGCGGGUAACUGGACUGCAACUGACGCUGAGGCGCGAAAGUGUGGGGAGCAAACAGG